AUGUGUGCAGUGUGAGCGCAGAGUGCACACGUGUGCGUGCAUCCUUGUGUGUCGAGUGACUGCGUCCAGAAGCCUCAGCAACUCCUCCCUGCCCCAGGGCCCCGCCGGCAGCUGCCAGGGCAUCCAGGCCUGCUUUCACCACCCCCUCAGGGAACCGCCGGGAGGCACCUGCAGGUAGGCCCAGCCCCCAGGCAGCAGAACAAAGGGGAGGAGCCCGGCCUCACCCAGGGCUCCCUGGCACCCUGCCCUCCGCGGAGGCCCAGGACCCGCAAUAACCUCAGACGGUGAGGCUGCUCCUCCCCAGCAGGCCGUUCCCCAUCCUGCGCCCCGCCUGCCAGGGCCCCUUCUGGCCAUUGAGGGGGCUCGGUGAUGGGCCAGGCUGACCAGAGGAGCCCCAGCCGCCCUCUGGCCUGGAGCGCCUCCACCCUCCCCUUACUCCCACCGCACAAAGGGCUAUAGGUCCCCGCGCUGCCUGGGUCCAGUUUACAAACAGGUUGCCCAGGGCCUGGCCCCCCUCUCGGGGUGCGCCCUCUCAGACCCGCCUCUGGAGCAGGCGUGGGGCCUCGCACCCGGGUAAGUAGCAAAUCCCUCCUUCCUCAAGGGCCAGGCCCUCACUGCCCCGGCCCGGAGCCCGCCCUCCGGCACCUCUCCUUUUGCCUUAGGCCGUUCGACAUCCUGUCUCCUGCAAUAACCAGGAAGGAGAUUCCAGUAGCUGUCCCCCGCGUGUCCUCCCUCUCCGUUGAGACCCCGUCUGCGUAGCUAGGCUGUUAGAGCCGGAAGGGACCGUAGUUGUGUAGCAGCAUCUUCAGGGCAUGGCUGGCCGGACGCCGGCCCCCGGGGCUGCCCCGGCCGGCCACUGCGGGCUGCUGGGCACCCUGUGCCCCUUAGGAGAGGUGUUGGUCACAGAUGUUUACCUCAGUUUAUGUCACUGUCGAAGAAACAAAAAAUAAAUAGCAAAAAGUAACACCGUAGACAUGAAGACUUAGAAAA